GGCUNCGCGCUACCAUGCAGUCGAGCGGCAGCGGAAAGUAGCUUGCUACUUUGCCGGCGAGCGGCGGACGGGUGAGUAAUGUCUGGGAAACUGCCUGAUGGAGGGGGAUAACUACUGGAAACGGUAGCUAAUACCGCAUAACGUCGCAAGACCAAAGAGGGGGACCUUCGGGCCUCUUGCCAUCAGAUGUGCCCAGAUGGGAUUAGCUAGUAGGUGGGGUAACGGCUCACCUAGGCGACGAUCCCUAGCUGGUCUGAGAGGAUGACCAGCCACACUGGAACUGAGACACGGUCCAGACUCCUACGGGAGGCAGCAGUGGGGAAUAUUGCACAAUGGGCGCAAGCCUGAUGCAGCCAUGCCGCGUGUAUGAAGAAGGCCUUCGGGUUGUAAAGUACUUUCAGCGGGGAGGAAGGUGUUGAGGUUAAUAACCACAGCAAUUGACGUUACCCGCAGAAGAAGCACCGGCUAACUCCGUGCCAGCAGCCGCGGUAAUACGGAGGGUGCAAGCGUUAAUCGGAAUUACUGGGCGUAAAGCGCACGCAGGCGGUCUGUCAAGUCGGAUGUGAAAUCCCCGGGCUCAACCUGGGAACUGCAUUCGAAACUGGCAGGCUAGAGUCUUGUAGAGGGGGGUAGAAUUCCAGGUGUAGCGGUGAAAUGCGUAGAGAUCUGGAGGAAUACCGGUGGCGAAGGCGGCCCCCUGGACAAAGACUGACGCUCAGGUGCGAAAGCGUGGGGAGCAAACAGGAUUAGAUACCCUGGUAGUCCACGCCGUAAACGAUGUCGACUUGGAGGUUGUGCCCUUGAGGCGUGGCUUCCGGAGCUAACGCGUUAAGUCGACCGCCUGGGGAGUACGGCCGCAAGGUUAAAACUCAUAUGAAUUGACGGGGGCCCGCACAAGCGGUGGAGCAUGUGGUUUAAUUCGAUGCAACGCGAAGAACCUUACCUACUCUUGACAUCCAGAGAACUUACCAGAGAUGCUUUGGUGCCUUCGGACUCUGAACAGGUGCUGCAUGGCUGUCGUCAGCUCGUGUUGUGAAAUGUUGGUUAAGUCCCGCAACGAGCGCACCCUUAUCCUUUGUGCCAGCGGUCCGGCCGGAACUCAAAGGAAGACUGCCAGUGAUAAACUGAAGAAGNGGGGGAUGGACGUCAAGUCAUCAUGGCCCCUUUACCGAUAAGNNC
rnacentral:rRNA from 1 species